GAACAUUAUUUCCCCGGAGAACUAAACCACCGAUUAGUUUCUUAGUUCAUGCGGGUCAAUGAAAGAAAUAUCUAAACAUUUUCUAAAACUGCGAUCAGCCUUGAUCGUCGACUCCUUCUGGGAACGGUUAAAGCGACAAUUUUAGGAAGCUUGGCGGUGCUUGCACUGGACUACAGGAGACGUACUUACAUACGUAUGGCGUCACCUAAUCCUGAGGAGCUUCAAGGGAUAAGACGGGACCUGCGAACCAACCGGCAGUUGAGCGGCAUGCCGACGACACUUCGGACUCGCGAUUGAAUCCGGAUGGAUUAACAAUGAUCGAGCCAAUUCAACUACGAUGCAAUGACAGGCUUACCCAGAUCCUACGACCCGAAUAUGACGAUCUUACUUUGGCAACCUGGUGCCUGGAUAUCCGAUUCUUUAAAAAGGCACGGAAGCUGUUCUUUAAUUAGACUCUGAAGCUGAUUCUAAACAUGUAAAAAUUAAGCAACAGAGGAUACAUAGUUCAUUGCCAAUGGAAAUCAAGAUCGUAAGAAAGAAGAUUCGCUUAAUGGUCGAGGAAAAUCAUCUUUUUAUGAGUAACAAGAGCUGAAAAAGUCCAUAGACUAAAUUCAAAGUUGAGGAUAAGGACCUAAACUCGCUGGAACUGA